rnacentral:lncRNA from 1 species
AUGGCCAGAUUAAGAAAGCUCCAAAAUAUCGGAAAGAAUCCUUUAAAAAAAAAAAUAGCCAUCAUUUCAAUGAUGGAAGGACAAUCUUUUUCUCCAUUUACAUACCACUCUUCCGUGACCCUUCCCCCUCCCUCUACUAUCUCUUCCCCACCCCCACUCCCCCUAAAAAAAAAUGAGGCCCUCAACAUAAACAAGAACCUGGAUGUUUACCGUGCUUUGUGCACACCCUCCAGCAGGCCAUGGAUUCGGACACCCCCUCCCCCGUGGUUCCACAGUUCAGUGGCUUGGCUUAGUAGGAAGACAAGAGAUGAUAAUGGCCUGAACUAUGGUGGUGACCAUGUAAAUGGCGAGAGUUGGAUGCAAGAUAUGUUUGAAGCAUCAUGAAUGAGGUCAGAAAACAAAUCAGUUUCUGACUUUCAAUCUCUUGUCUUUACACUUUAUCCCCCACAAAGUUGCCAAAAAUAAUACUCCUAAAACAUUUUUGCUCAUUUUCA